rnacentral:rRNA from 1 species
ACGAACGCUGGCGGCGUGCCUAAUACAUGCAAGUCGAGCGGAAUGAUGAAGAAGCUUGCUUCUUCUGAUUUUAGCGGCGGACGGGUGAGUAACACGUGGGCAACCUACCUUGUAGAUUGGGAUAACUCCGGGAAACCGGGGCUAAUACCGAAUAAUCCAUUUUGCUUCAUGGCGAGAUGUUGAAAGACGGUUUCGGCUGUCACUACAAGAUGGGCCCGCGGCGCAUUAGCUAGUUGGUAGGGUAAUGGCCUACCAAGGCGACGAUGCGUAGCCGACCUGAGAGGGUGAUCGGCCACACUGGGACUGAGACACGGCCCAGACUCCUACGGGAGGCAGCAGUAGGGAAUCUUCCACAAUGGACGAAAGUCUGAUGGAGCAACGCCGCGUGAGUGAAGAAGGUUUUCGGAUCGCAAAACUCUGUUGUAAGGGAAGAAACACGUACGAGAGUAACUGCUCGUACCUUGACGGUACCUUAUUAGAAAGCCACGGCUAACUACGUG